AGAGCGAACGCUGGCGGCAGGCUUAACACAUGCAAGUCGAGCGGGCGUAGCAAUACGUCAGCGGCAGACGGGUGAGUAACGCGUGGGAACAUACCUUUUGGUUCGGAACAACACAGGGAAACUUGUGCUAAUACCGGAUAAGCCCUUACGGGGAAAGAUUUAUCGCCAAAAGAUUGGCCCGCGUCUGAUUAGCUAGUUGGUGAGGUAACGGCUCACCAAGGCGACGAUCAGUAGCUGGUCUGAGAGGAUGAUCAGCCACAUUGGGACUGAGACACGGCCCAAACUCCUACGGGAGGCAGCAGUGGGGAAUAUUGGACAAUGGGCGCAAGCCUGAUCCAGCCAUGCCGCGUGAGUGAUGAAGGCCCUAGGGUUGUAAAGCUCUUUUGUGCGGGAAGAUAAUGACGGUACCGCAAGAAUAAGCCCCGGCUAACUUCGCGCCAGCAGCCGC
rnacentral:rRNA from 1 species